UUGGGACAUUCCCUUUCCGGUUGAUAUAGAUUGUAAAUUUGUUUUGGGACCUGUUAAUUUGUUUCAGCGUUUGUAAAAGUGUUUCACAUCUUGUUAAUUUGUUUUCUAAAAUGUAAUUUUGUUUUGGAACUUAAAUGUAAAUUUCUUUUGGAACUUGUAAAUGUGUUAUGGUAAUGUAAUUUUGUAUUAUGAUAUGUAAAAUUGUUUUUUUAAAAUGUAAAUUUGUCUCAAGCUUUGUAAAAGUGUUUCAGAAUUUGUAAUGUUGGUUUGCACCUCCAGGCCACCAUUUUCUCUGUGAAU